rnacentral:rRNA from 1 species
GAUGAACGCUGGCGGCGUGCUUAACACAUGCAAGUCGAACGGACUAAUUUAUUAGUUAGUGGCGGACGGGUGAGUAACACGUGGGUAACCUACCUCAUACAGGGGAAUAACGUUUGGAAACAAACGCUAAUACCGCAUAACCUAUGAUUGUCGCAUGAUAAUGAUAGCAAAGAUUUAUCGGUAUGAGAUGGACCUGCGGAAGAUUAGCUAGUUGGUGAGAUAAAAGCUCACCAAGGCGACGAUCUAUAGCCGGCCUGAGAGGGUGAACGGCCACACUGGGACUGAGACACGGCCCAGACUCCUACGGGAGGCAGCAGUGGGGAAUAUUGCACAAUGGGGGAAACCCUGAUGCAGCGACGCCGCGUGAUUGAAGAAGGGUUUAGGCUCGUAAAGAUCUAUCAGCAGGGAAGAAAAAAAUGACGGUACCUGACUAAGAAGCCCCGGCUAACUACGUGCCAGCCGCCGCCGUAACAC